rnacentral:rRNA from 1 species
AGCAGCCGCGGUAAUUCCAGCUCCAAUAGCGUAUAUUAAAGUUGUUGCAGUUAAAAAGCUCGUAGUUGAAUUUCGGGGUUAGUAGGUUGGUCAUGCCUCUGGUAUGUACUGGUCUCACUGAUUCCUCCUUCCUGAUGAGCCGUAAUGCCAUUAAUUUGGUGUUGCGGGGAAUUUGGACUGUUACUUUGAAAAAAUUAGAGUGUUUAAAGCAAGCUAACGCUUGAAUACAUUAGCAUGGAAUAAUGAAAUAGGACGUUCGAUCCUAUUUUGUUGGUUUCUAGGAUUGACGUAAUGAUUAAUAGGGAUAGUUGGGGGCAUUAGUAUUCAAUUGUCAGAGGUGAAAUUCUUGGAUUUAUUGAAGACUAACUACUGCGAAAGCAUUUGCCAAGGAUGUUUUCAUUAAUCAAGAACGAAAGUUAGGGGAUCGAAGACGAUCAGAUACCGUCGCAGUCUUAACCAUAAACUAUGCCGACUAGGGAUCGGAUGAUGUUAAUUUUUUAAUGACUCA